rnacentral:rRNA from 1 species
ACUCAAAUGAAUUGACGGGGGCCCGCACAAGCGGUGGAGCAUGUGGUUUAAUUCGACGCAACGCGAAGAACCUUACCCAGGCUUGACAUGCAGUGGACGGGUGUGGAAACACACCUUCCCUUCGGGGCCGCUGCACAGGUGCUGCAUGGCUGUCGUCAGCUCGUGUCGUGAGAUGUUGGGUUAAGUCCCGCAACGAGCGCAACCCUUGCCCUUAGUUGCUAGCAGGUAAAGCUGAGCUCUCUAAGGGGACUGCCGGUGAUAAACCGGAGGAAGGUGGGGAUGAUGUCAAGUCCUCAUGGCCCUUACGCCUGGGGCUACACACGUGCUACAAUGGCCGGUACAAAGGGUUCCGAAAUCGCGAGAUAGAGGCAAUCUCAAAAAACCGGUCUCAGUUCGGAUUGCAGUCUGCAACUCGACUGCAUGAAGUUGGAAUCGCUAGUAAUCGCUGAUCAGCAGGCAGCGGUGAAUACGUUCCCGGGCCUUGUACACACCGCCCGU